CUGCAGCCGUCGGGUCGUCGGCGACUAAACCGGCACCCCCACUUCAACCCUUGGGUUGCUGUGAGGAGGGUGUGUGGACACCCAGCAGGACUAAAAACAAAACCUGUCAAAGGGCGGAUGAGUUCCUCUGUGAACCAACGGCCAGCCAUACCUGGAGAGGAGAUAGGGACCAGCAGAGAGCAUCCUGACCAGCUGCAUCUCCGUAUGGUACGCCAACUGCACAUCAGUAGACCAGAAAGCUCUGCAGCGGGUCAUCGAGGCAGCCCAGCAUAUCGCCGGUACCAAGCCCCCAGCCAUUAAGGACAUUUAUCACAAACGCUGCCUUCGAAGGGGUCUCGGCAUCAGCAGGGAUCCCACCCACCCCAACCACGGAAUGUUCUCCCCCCUGCACUCUGGGAGGCGCUACAGGAGCCUCAGAGCCCGCACUACCAGGCUCAAAAACAGCCUCUUUCCCCAAGCUGUUGCCCAUCUGAACCAGGCUACCCACUGAAUGUCUGAGGAUAUUUUUAGAUAUGUUGUACUCGUGCUCUUUUUUAACUUAUUUUUAGCGUUUGGUCUUCAUCUGUGCAUAUCUUAUACUGUGUUUGUCUGUCUGUCCUGCACCGUUUGGCGAAGCCGCAGCCCUUAUUUCAUUUUUAGCAUGCGCCUGCACGUUGUUUUUAAUGAUGAUAAAUUGAAUUGAAUUGAAAAAUCCAAACCUCCUUGUGGCAGCUUUUAAACAGUUUUCUUUGUGUGGCUAUUUAUCUAUCAGCUAACGUUUUCUAUUCCUGGCCUUUUCUAUUUCUGCCUCCCGUUUGGAUGUUUUCACCAUGCAGAAGUGGCCAGAAUUUCAUUUAGUGCGAAACACUGGGUACAAAUUAGAUUCAGCCACAGUCUCCCAGUUCAGUUUAUCCCCGUUAUAAAAGUGCGGGCUGUUUUCAGCAACAGCCAUAUUCUUGGAAGACUGCGGUCGCACUUAUACACAAGACCAGUCACGUGAAGACAAACAUACGCACACGAGUACACGCCAGACACAGGAAUGUGCCCGAGUGAGGCCUUAUGGGACGGUUCACAGUGUCGGUACACGUUGACUACAGUACCCCGUUAGCUAGGAUGGCACAUUAGCUAUCAUCCACAACGUCCACUGUGCUGCAGCUCCGUACACGUUUAAAAGCGGUGCCAGACAGGCGGAUUAAACUGGGUUUUACAGAAAGAAGAAGGAAGCCACUUUAUUUUGUCAUUGUAUUCUUACAGUCAAUUUGUCCUCUGCAUUUAACCCAUCCUAUUGUGUAGGAGCAGUGGGCAGCUGCAGCACCCGGGGACCAACUCCAGUUCUGCUUCCCACUGCCUUGCUCAGGGGCACAGGCAGGAGUGUUAACCCUAACAUGCAUGUCUUUUUGAUGGUGGGAGGAAACCGGAGCACCAGGAGGAAACCCACGCAGACACGGGGAGAACAUGCAAACUCCACACAGAAAGGACCUGGGAGGGGCGUCCGGGUAGCGUAGCGGUCUAUUCCGUUGCCUACCAACAUGGGGAUCGCCGGUUCGAAUCCCCGUGUUACCGCUGGCUAGGUCGGGCGUCCCUACAGUCACAAUUGGCUGUGUCUGCGGGUGGGAAGCCGGAUGUGGGUAUGUGUCCUGAUCGCUGCACUAGCGCCUCCUCUGGUCGGUUGGGGUGUCUGUUUUUUUGGGGGGGACUGGGGGGGAAUAGCGUGAUCCUCCCAUGCGCUACGUCCACCUGGCAAAACUCCUCACUGUCAGGUGAAAAGAAGCGGCUGGCGACUCCACAUGUAUGGGAGGAGGCAUGUGGUAGUCUGCAGCCCUCCCCGGAUCAGCAGAGGGGGUGGAGCGGCGACCGGGACGGCUCGGAAGACUGGGGUAAUUGGACAGGUACAAAUUGGGGAGAAAAGGGG